AGGCUAUGGAACAUGGGGAGGAGGGGAGGCGGUUAUACAGUGGAUGCAGCGGGGGUCUGUGCUCUUGUUAGCUUUCCUACAGCUCCAACAGAUUCCUCAUCAUUUC